UCUUAGGGUUUCUGUGUCUGAUGUUUGACCGUUCGUCUUAUUUAAAAAGUUAUGAAAAAUUUAAAAACAUAAGUCAUACAUAAAGUAUUAUUCAUGUUUUAUCAUCUAACAAUAAUGAAAAUACUAAUCAUAAAAAAAUUCAUAUAAGACGAACGGUCAAACAUUGAAUAAAAAACUCAGGAAUUGAGUUUUU
rfam:Oryza glaberrima chromosome 10 Oglab10_0117_10, whole genome shotgun sequence.